rnacentral:piRNA from 1 species
UAGGUUGUUUGAUGAGGCGCC